CGUUCCUCGGCUAGUUACCGACUGUAUAGAUAAGCGGUUUGAUGUAAUGUUAUCGUACGAUUAGUAAAUAUGUUAGCAAUAGGAUAACAUUUGGAUGUGGGACGCAAAAUAACAACAAAAGCCAGUUUCCCCACAAACUGUCGAUGUUCGGAAAUGAUCGAGAAAGUCGAUGUUAGCAAAGCAGCUGAGAACGCGCACAGGCCUUGUCGUGAAAGAUCGGCUCCUUCCAGCCUUCCAGCCGAGUACCCGGAUCGACUCUCUGAGCCAAUCAGAGAUCCAGCUAAGCCUCCUCCUGCUCCCUAUUUAAGAGGUGAUGACCACUCCACUACACUACCAUUGUCAACCCUCACAUGACAUGAACUGAAGCCACGUCUCAUGUCCCCGCUAAUCCACUGGCACAUUGAGUGUUUCCUUUCCA